rnacentral:rRNA from 1 species
GCUUACGGCCAUAUCAGCCUGGGUACGCCCGAUCUCGUCUGAUCUCGGAAGCUAAGCAGGGUCGGCCUGGUUAGUACUUGGCUGGGAGACCGCCUGGGAAUACCAGGUGCUGUAAGCA